UACGGGGGGAGCAAGCGUUGUUCGGAUUUACUGGGCGUAAAGGGCGCGUAGGCGGUCGUGACAAGUCACUUGUGAAAUCUCCGGGCUUAACUCGGAACGGUCAAGUGAUACGUGUCGGACUAGAGUACAGAAGGGGCAACUGGAAUUCUCGGUGUAGCGGUGAAAUGCGUAGAUAUCGAGAGGAACACCUGCGGCGAAGGCGGGUUGCUGGGCUGAUAACUGACGUGGAGGCGCGGAAAAGCCCAGGGGGAGCGAAACGGGG
rnacentral:rRNA from 1 species